ACCUCUUGGUUGCGUCUUCCCUCCCUAUUCCUAUGCAGGAGCAUUGCAUAAAUGACAUACAGGUUUACUAUCCUGAUUACGAGAAGGGGAACGUUCCAAUUCCCUAGUAUGAGGGCACCUGUUCCGUCCCGUUUCCUUGAAGGUUUCUUUCUGGGACCUCGAAAGGAGGUUCUAUCGCUCAAACCCGAGGUCUUUAAGGCUCUCCUGAAGCUCUCCAAAGAAGAUAAUCUUAUCUGUGGAUACAGGGCGCCCAUUGCACAACCCAGGGGCAACAACUGAGAAGGCCUAAUCCCAGUUCUUCACCAGAUGAACCAUUGGCAUUAGAAGAUGGACCACUCCUGAUGAUCUUAAUGAGUGGUGGGAACCUUGUAGAGAAAGGCACUGUCUCAGUAACCCGGGCCUAAGCUAUUAUUCAGGGCUUUAAAGGAGGAGGCUUACAAAAGCCUUGUAAGGCCAACAAUAGCCUUGAGCCAUGAAUGAGGAAAGUCUUGCAAAGUCUAUUGUAUUUUUAACACUGGCUCAUCUUGUAUGUGAGGAUUAUUAAUCUUCAAAGUUUAGCUCCCUGCCUUUUUAGAGAGAUGAAAGAUGACCCAAGGAAACGAUCAGAAAAGAUGGUUGUCGGAUGAUGAUGAUGAUGAUGAUGAUGAUGAUGAUGAUGAUUGAAAGAAGAAGAACUUCUCCACAAGUGGAAGGUUAUAAAGUAAUACUUUGCAGCCUUGCCGUGAAACCUAAGCGACUUCAGAAGCAGCAGUGAAGCUAUCCUUGCAAAGGUAAUCAAGGGCUACAGAAGUUUCCAGCAUUCUAUAUCAAAAGGAAAAGUCACAAAGAAACAGUGCUAAGACAAGGUAAUAAAGCAGUAAACCAAAACAGAUAUCUGAUUUGCCUAGUGGCAAUUUUACUUCUGUUUGCUACCUGGAAGAGACAUCUCCUUAAAUAUAUGGAAAGACUGCACACCAAGCAAUAAUAUCUGUUGUACAAGAAUCAGGCUUCUGUUUGAUAUUAUUGAAUGUUUAUUCCAUGCCUUAUCAUUGCAUGCUG